GUGGGGAAUAUUGGACAAUGGGCGAAAGCCUGAUCCAGCCAUGCCGCGUGUGUGAAGAAGGUCUUCGGAUUGUAAAGCACUUUAAGUUGGGAGGAAGGGCAGUAAGUUAAUACCUUGCUGUUUUGACGUUACCGACAGAAUAAGCACCGGCUAACUUCGUGCCAGCAGCCGCGGUAAUACGAAGGGUGCAAGCGUUAAUCGGAAUUACUGGGCGUAAAGCGCGCGUAGGUGGUUUUGUAAGUUGGAGGUGAAAUGCCCGGGCUCAACCUGGGAACUGCCUCCAAAACUGCAUGACUAGAGUACGGUAGAGGGUAGUGGAAUUUCCUGUGUAGCGGUGAAAUGCGUAGAUAUAGGAAGGAACACCAGUGGCGAAGGCGACUACCUGGACUGAUACUGACACUGAGGUGCGAAAGCGUGGGGAGCAAACAGGAUUAGAAACCCGGGUAGUCC
rnacentral:rRNA from 1 species